rnacentral:rRNA from 1 species
GAUGAACGCUAGCGGCAGGCCUAACACAUGCAAGUCGAGGGAGAAGCCUUUCGGGGCAGAAACCGGCGCACGGGUGCGUAACGCGUAUGCAACCUACCUUUCACAGGGGGAUAGCCCGAAGAAAUUUGGAUUAAUACCCCAUAAUAUUGUUGGAUGGCAUCAUCUGAUAAUUAAAACUGAGGUGGUGAAAGAUGGGCAUGCGUCCUAUUAGCUAGUUGGAGUGGUAACGGCACCCCAAGGCUACGAUAGGUAGGGGUCCUGAGAGGGAGAUCCCCCACACUGGUACUGAGACAGGGACCAGACUCCUACGGGAGGCAGCAGUGAGGAAUAUUGGUCAAUGGUCGGAAGACUGAACCAGCCAUGCCGCGUGCAGGAAGAAUGCCUUAUGGGUUGUAAACUGCUUUUAUAUGGGAAGAAUAAGGUGUACGUGUACAUUGANGACGNUNCCA